rnacentral:lncRNA from 1 species
CCCUGUUUGUUUGUGGUUUGAAAUUGCUUGGAUUUCAGUGUCUCUGUCCUGCUCUCUGUGUCCCAGGGGUGUAGUGUAUUUUUCCUGACUCAGAAAUUUCACUGUUUUGAAGGAGGUAAAAAUAGUCUAGAAAACAGUUUUGUUUUUUUUUUUCUUUAUAGCAAAUGGAAGAACAUGAAGCCGAGACAGCUCGUGAACUGAGAUGAGAAUACAAAGCAAGUGUGAAUGCUUGUAUUGCUAUUGCUACCUAAAAUGAGGGCAAAUCAGAAAAGUGAAAGAGAAAUGUAAGGUCCUCAUUUGUGUGAGCCUUUAUGUUAAGAUUUUGCAUGGAUUCAAGCCAGGAGAUGCCCUGACUGCACAACUAAAGACACUCAUGAAGAGAGCAUCCAGAACUGCUUCACCAAGCGCCAAGACUGAGGGGGUCAGUGUGCUGGAAUCAAUGAACAUCACUGUAUAUUUAGGGGAAUAAACGUCAAUGUGUCUUUUACAGCAACUUUAAAAGUUUAAAUCAUCACCAUAUGUUUUGAUCAUACUUCAUGUGGUCCUGGCCCCUAACAAUGUUUCCUGCUUUGCUUCCAGGAUGACUGAAUUGAGCAGCUUUUCUUUCUUUCUUUCUUUCUUUCUUUCUUUCUUUCUUUCUUUCUUUCUUUCUUUCUAACCACAUGCUUUUUCUAUGAUAUUUUU